rnacentral:rRNA from 1 species
AGUGAACGCUGGCGGUAGGCCUAACACAUGCAAGUCGAACGGCAGCACAGUAAGAGCUUGCUCUUACGGGUGGCGAGUGGCGGACGGGUGAGGAAUACAUCGGAAUCUACUUUUUCGUGGGGGAUAACGUAGGGAAACUUACGCUAAUACCGCAUACGACCUACGGGUGAAAGCAGGGGAUCUUCGGACCUUGCGCGAUUGAAUGAGCCGAUGUCGGAUUAGCUAGUUGGCGGGGUAAAGGCCCACCCAGGCGACGAUCGGUAGCUGGUCUGAGAGGGUGGUCGGCCACAUUGGAACUGAGACACGGUCCAGACUCCUACGGGAGGCAGCAGUGGGGAAUAUUGGACAAUGGGCGCAAGCCUGAUCCAGCCAUACCGCGUGUGUGAAGAAGGCCUUCGGGUUGUAAAGCCCUUUUGUUGGGAAAGAAAAGCAGCAGGUUAAUACCCCGCUGUUCUGACGGUACCCAAAGAAUAAGCACCGGCUAACUUCGUG